rnacentral:rRNA from 1 species
UACGGAGGGUGCGAGGCGUUGUCCGGAAUCACUGGGCGUAAAGGGCGCGUAGGCGGCCGAGCAAGGUCGCGGUGAAAGCCCGGGGCUCAACCCCGGGUCGGCCGUGGCAACUACUUGGCUGGAGCAACUGUAGGGGCGGGUGGAAUUCCGGGUGUAGCGGUGGAAUGCGUAGAGAUCCGGAAGAACACCGGUGGCGAAGGCGGCCCGCUGGGCAGGAAGGUGGAGCAAUCCACCGGCUGACGCUGAGGCGCGACAGCGUGGGGAGCAAACAGG